AUCCAAUGUAAAUGACACUCAGACAUUUCCUUCAACAUUCCGAGUUCCUGUCAACGAUAUGUUAAUUGGAACAGGCGUUUUCUGUGGACUCUGCAUCAUGUCUGUAAUCGGAAGAUGUGUUUUUCUUAAACGACGAAAGGUCAACGAAAUCCACACAAUAGAAAUACACCUCGUCGGACAAAGGAGUGCUACACAUAACAACGGAAGGAGUCCAGUACGCAGUCGUGCAGAGGCAGGCGUCCACACAGAGGAUUGAACCGCAGCAAUCACAUAAUGACGACAGCCUAACGUACGCCGAGUUGGACAUGAAGUUCCUACAGGUAGCUAACACCAGAGUACCGUCAAGGAGAAAGAAUAGGCCGACGGAGUAUGCUGACAUUGAGUUCUUCUUAACACAGGAACCUGCUGUAGAAGAUCCUGUGUACCACAAUGCAUCAGCGUCAGACCAAGACAUCUAACCCGAAAUACUGCCUUUAACAUACAGUUGAACCCCGUUGGCUCGAAUUCCUCCUUGGCUGAAACUGAAUGUAAAGGACCGAUUUCUUUAUAUUGAAGAUAAACAUUCCCGCUUGGCUCGAAAUUUCCGAGGCUCGAGAUUUUCUCGCCGGUCCCUGUGAGUUCGAGCUAACGAGGUUCGAUUGUAGUAGUGUUUAUAGUUUGUACGUCUUCUUUUAUACUGUAUAUUGAAACAUUGAAACUGGGAGUAGUUUUCUCAUUAUUGGUCCUAGAUUGAAAUGAGUAUUGUUGAAACAAAGACCUUAUAAUCAAAAACAAGAUUAAAAUAUUUAAAUUUAUUAUAUACCCAUCAUAAAUCCACACGCAAUACAUAUCGCAAAAUACGGUAGUCCGUAUUCCACUCCAGUGCAAUACAGCCUACUCCACUCUUGUGACGCCACGUCAUAACAAGUAUCGUUAUGCGAUGUUUAAAUGACGUCAUAAAACAAAAAGUGCGUCAUUAAAAUGAAAUUUAUUAUGAAACAUGUGGCUUUUAAGUGAUCUUACCAGUAAUGUAUAUAAUAAAAGGGUUAUUAGUACUGCGUUUUGAUCCGGAAUUCGUAUUCGACUCUCGUGGAAUUUUGCAGAUUUUGAUUUCAGUCGGCUUGCGCAAAAAUCCACUCGAGUUGAAUACAACCUCCCAGAUCAAAACGCAGUACUAAUAACCCUUUUGUAUCAUUAGGUUGGGAUAGAGACUGUCCAACAAACAAUGUAUU